rnacentral:rRNA from 1 species
GAUGAACGCUGGCGGCGUGCCUAAUACAUGCAAGUCGAGCGAACGGACGAGAAGCUUGCUCUUCUGAUGUUAGCGGCGGACGGGUGAGUAACACGUGGAUAACCUACCUAUAAGACUGGGAUAACUUCGGGAAACCGGAGCUAAUACCGGAUAAUAUUUUGAACCGCAUGGUUCAAAAGUGAAAGACGGUCUUGCUGUCACUUAUAGAUGGAUCCGCGCUGCAUUAGCUAGUUGGUAAGGUAACGGCUUACCAAGGCAACGAUGCAUAGCCGACCUGAGAGGGUGAUCGGCCACACUGGAACUGAGACACGGUCCAGACUCCUACGGGAGGCAGCAGUAGGGAAUCUUCCGCAAUGGGCGAAAGCCUGACGGAGCAACGCCGCGUGAGUGAUGAAGGUCUUCGGAUCGUAAAACUCUGUUAUUAGGGAAGAACAUAUGUGUAAGUAACUGUGCACAUCUUGACGGUACCUAAUCAGGAAGCCACGGCUAACUACGUG